UGGCAAAAUAAAUUUGUCGUAAUCUUUUACGGUUGCGAAGGAGUAGUGGCCACAAGAAAAACAGUGUUUGGGGAGAUAACUCUUACAAGGUAAAGUAUUUUGUUACGCGGUUGUCAGUUUCAGAAGCGUAUUAACUGUUCGAUAUCAUAUUCCAAAUAUCUAAGCGACAUCUUGUGAAACAAAAAAACAGCCAAGGAAAAAAAAGUUGGCGGAAGAAAAAAAAAAAUAAUAAUAAUAAUUAAAAAACCAAUUGUUCAGAAGAACAAUUGAAGGUCUUUCCAACCAAUAAGGAGAUCUAUUUUGAUAUGAAAAUAUUAAAAUUCAGUUUAAAAAUGUCAGUUCCUAUGGCUUUAUGAUGUAUUUAAUAUGAAUUUAAAGCAAAGGUCAAAAUCUAGAACGUCCAAUUAACCUAUGACCUUGACCUCAAUUUCAAGGUCAUAAACAAAGGAUCCUCAAAUCAAAAGACCCUAGGUCUUUAAUAUGUAUGGUUCAUGAGUAAUAUCACUUUACGCAUAAUUCUAAAUAUAAGAGGGGCAAAAACUCCCAUUUAUUGUCUACGCACCCUUUCAACCAAAAUUUAUAAGUUACGACAUGUCGCAACUAACAAUUUAGUAAAAAUAAUUUGUCGAUAUCUUAUAAGGUAUUUGAAAAUAAGUGAAAAUAAGCCAAAAUCAAAAUUUAGAAUUUGACCUUGACCUUUGACCUUGACCUAAUUUUCAUUUUUUUGGACCAAGGAUCUUAAAUCAAAAGACCCUAGGUCUCUAUCACUUAUGGUUUACCAGUUAGAAAUGCAUAUCACUUAUAUCAAAUAUAAAAGGGGGAAUAACUCUCAUAUGGAGUCUCCGGAUAGCUUCGGUCAAAUGAAACAGAACAUCCUGAAGGAUGUAACGAGCAAUUUGGUAAAAAUAAAUUUGUCGUUUCUUUUACGGUUGCGAAGGAGUAGUGGCCACAAGAAAAACAGUGUUUGGGGAGAUAACUCUUACAAGGUAAAGUAUUUUGUUACGCGGUUGUCAAUUUUUAGAAGCGUAUAAACUGUUCGAUAUCAUAUACCAAAUAUCUAAGCGACAUCUUUUGAAACAUCAAAAACGCAAGGAAAAAAAAUUAGGCGGAAGAAAAAAAAAAAAUAAUAAUAGAACAAAUAAGGUCUUUCAAAAAAAGACCUAAUAAUAAUUAAAAACCAAUUGUUCAAAGAACAAUUGAAGGUCUUUCAACCAAUAAGGAUCUAUUUUGAUAUGAAAAUAUUAAAAUUCAGUUGAAAAUGUCAGUUCCUAUGGCUUUAUGAUGUAUAAAUAUGAAUUUCGAAGCAAAGGUCAAAAUCUAGAACGUCCAAUUAACCUAUGACCUUGACCUCAAUUUCAAGGUCAUAGACUAAGGAUCUCAAAUCAAAAGACACUAGUUCCUUAAUAUGUAUGGUUCAUGAGUAAUAUCACUUUACGCAUAAUUCUAAAUAUAAGAGGGGCGAAAAACUCCCAUUUAUUGUCUACGCACCCUUGCAACCAAAAUUUAUAAGUUACGACAUGUCGCAACUAACAAUUUAGUAAAAAUAAUUUGUCGAUAUCUUAUAAAGGUUAAUGAAAAUAAGUGAAAAUAAGCCAAAAUCAAAAUUUAGAAUUUGACCUUGACCUUUGACCUUGACCUAAUUUUCAUUUUUUUGGACCAAGGAUCUUAAAUCAAAAAGACCCUAGGUCUCUAUCACUUAUGGUUUACCAGUUAGAAAUGCAUAUCACUUAUAUCAUAUAUAAAAGGGGGAUAACUCUCAUAUGGAGUCUCCGGAUAGCUUCGGUCAAAAUGAAACAGAACAUCCUGAGGAUAUAACGAGCAAUUUGGAAAAAUAAAUUUGUCGGUUUCUUAUACGGUUGCGAAGGAGUAGUGGCCACAAGAAAAACAGUGUUCGGGGAGAUAACUCUUACAAGGUAAAGUUUUUUGUUACGCGGUGUCAGUUUCAGAAGCGUAUUAACUGUUCGAUAUCAUAUACCAAAUAUCUAAGCGACAUCUUGUGAAACAAAAAAACAGCGAAGGAAAAAAAAGUUGGCGGAAGAAAAAAAAAAAAAAUAAUAA
rnacentral:lncRNA from 1 species